GGGCACUCCCGUAGACCUUGCCUGACUCUGCCAAUAGUCAAGCAGGGGGGACAGUGUGUGCCAGAGAAAACAGAGCUUCUGUGAUCUAUGGCCAGCACUAUUGGUGGCUGGCUAUAUACAUUACUCUAACAUUU
rnacentral:snoRNA from 1 species